GUUGUAUGGUUAAGUGACUAAGCGUACACGGUGGAUGCCUUGGCAGUCAGAGGCGAUGAAAGACGUAGUAACUUGCGAUAAGCCCAGAUUAGGUAGUAACAACCAUUUGAGUCUGGGAUUUCUGAAUGGGGAAACCCACGUGCAUAAGCACGUAUCCUUACCUGAAUACAUAGGGUAAGGAGGCGAACCGGGGGAACUGAAACAUCUAAGUACCCCGAGGAAAAGAAAUCAACCGAGAUUCCGAAAGUAGCGGCGAGCGAAAUUGGACUAGCCCUUAAGCUUUACACGCGUUAGACGAACGGUCUGGAAAGUCCGACGAUACAGGGUGAUAGUCCCGUAGUUGACGACGUGUGUUCAGUGAAAUCGAGUAGGGCGGGACACGUGAUAUCCUGUCUGAAUAUGGGGGGACCAUCCUCCAAGGCUAAAUACUACUGACUGACCGAUAGUGAACCAGUACCGUGAGGGAAAGGCGAAAAGAACCCCUGUGAGGGGAGUGAAAUAGAACCUGAAACCGUGUACGUACAAGCAGUAGGAGCAGGCUUUGUCCUGUGACUGCGUACCUUUUGUAUAAUGGGUCAGCGACUUAUAUUCAGUGGCAAGGUUAACCAUCUAGGGGAGCCGUAGGGAAACCGAGUCUUAACUGGGCGUUCAGUCUCUGGAUAUAGACCCGAAACCAGGUGAUCUAGCCAUGGGCAGGUUGAAGGUUGAGUAACAUCAACUGGAGGACCGAACCGACUAAUGUUGAAAAAUUAGCGGAUGACUUGUGGCUAGGGGUGAAAGGCCAAUCAAACCUGGAGAUAGCUGGUUCUCCCCGAAAGCUAUUUAGGUAGCGCCUCGGACGAAUACUACUGGGGGUAGAGCACUGUUAAGGCUAGGGGGUCAUCCCGACUUACCAACCCUUUGCAAACUCCGAAUACCAGUAAGUACUAUCCGGGAGACACACGGCGGGUGCUAACGUCCGUCGUGGAGAGGGAAACAACCCAGACCGCCAGCUAAGGUCCCAAAUUACUACUAAGUGGGAAACGAUGUGGGAAGGCUCAGACAGCCAGGAUGUUGGCUUAGAAGCAGCCAUCAUUUAAAGAAAGCGUAAUAGCUCACUGGUCGAGUCGGCCUGCGCGGAAGAUGUAACGGGGCUAAGUAGUAAACCGAAGCUGCGGCAAUAUACUUUUGUAUAUUGGGUAGGGGAGCGUUCUGUAAGCGGUUGAAGGUGUGUGGUAACGCAUGCUGGACGUAUCAGAAGUGCGAAUGCUGACAUGAGUAACGAUAAAGGGGGUGAAAAACCUCCUCGCCGGAAGACCAAGGGUUCCUGUCCAACGUUAAUCGGGGCAGGGUAAGUCGACCCCUAAGGCGAGGCCGAAAGGCGUAGUCGAUGGGAAACGGGUUAAUAUUCCCGUACUUCUUACAAUUGCGAUGGGGGGACGGAGAAGGCUAGGUGGGCCUGGCGACGGUUGUCCAGGUUCAAGUGCGUAGGCUUAAGAGUUAGGUAAAUCCGGCUCUUUCUAAGGCUGAGACACGACGUCGAGCACCUACGGGUGUGAAGUCAUUGAUGCCAUGCUUCCAGGAAAAGCCUCUAAGCUUCAGAUUGUAAGGAAUCGUACCCCAAACCGACACAGGUGGUCGGGUAGAGAAUACCAAGGCGCUUGAGAGAACUCGGGUGAAGGAACUAGGCAAAAUGGUACCGUAACUUCGGGAGAAGGUACGCUCU
rnacentral:rRNA from 1 species